rnacentral:rRNA from 1 species
UUAGGCCUACGGGGCGCAGCAGUGGGGAAUAUUGCACAAUGGGCGAAAGCCUGAUGCAGCAACGCCGCGUGAGCGAAGAAGGUCUUCGGAUUGUAAAGCUCUGUCCUAGGGGAAGAAGAAAAUGACGGUACCCUUGGAGGAAGCCCCGGCUAACUACGUGCCAGCAGCCGCGGUAAUACGGAGGAUGCGAGCGUUAUCCGGAUUUAUUGGGUUUAAAGGGUGCGCAGGCGGCCUGUUAAGUCAGCGGUAAAAGCCCGGGGCUCAACCCCGGCGAGCCGUUGAAACUGGCGGGCUGGAGUUGGAGG